AAGUGUGACAAAGUUCAUCUCACGAAUGUAAAACAUUUUCUAUCGAUUCACUUUACUGAUCUAUUUUUCUUUCAAUUUUUAGUAAACCAAAAAGACAAAAGAGGCCGAACAGCUCUUCAUAAUGCUACUGAGAAUGGUAAUUUGGGCGAAGUUAAAAAGCUAAUUGCGAGUGGAUUUUAAGUUGAUUCGACAGACGAAGAACAGCGCAAACCUCUUCAUUUGGCUGCUAUGACUGGUCAUACGGACAUUGUUGAAAAGCUAAUCGAAGGAGCACCCAAUGUUGAUUUCAAAGAUAAAAAUGAUAGGACACCUCUCCAUUAUGCUGCUAUGAAGGGUCACAAGAAUGUCGUUAAAAAGCUCAUCAACAUUGGAGCUAAAGUUGAUCCCAGAGACAGCCUUAUGCGGACACCUCUUCAUUUAGCUGCUAAGAAUGGUAA